rnacentral:rRNA from 1 species
UACGAAGGGGGCUAGCGUUGCUCGGAAUCACUGGGCGUAAAGCGCGCGUAGACGGUUUUGUAAGUCAGAUGUGAAAUCCCUGGGCUCAACCUGGGAACUGCAUUUGAGACUGCAUGGCUAGAGUAUCGAAGAGGGAAGUGGAAUUUCCGGUGUAGCGGUGAAAUGCGUAGAUAUCGGAAGGAACACCAGUGGCGAAAGCGACUUCCUGGUCGAAUACUGACGUUCAUGUGCGAAAGCGUGGGGAGCAAACAGG